UGAGUAGCACAAAUCGGCAGGGUUACGAGAUCGAGGAAUGAAGAAGGAUCAAGAUCAUCGUGAUCGAGACCGAUCCAGACGGAGCAAGAGGAAACCAACCGAUGAAAUGAUAGGCUUUUCUGUUCCAAGAAAAGCUCAAGCACGAUGGCAUUGGAUGCGCUCUACCUGUUGAAGCUCCUCCCCAGGUUGGCAAGGGGAAUGCAGAAGUGGCUCUGUCUCUGGUUGGAUAGAUCAGGAGCUGAAGAUAUAAUUCAAUUGUGUGUGCUGGAAUGUUUCUUAAUGUUAUAUCAUUGUAAGUCAUGUUCAUCAGCAAUGGAUGGGCCAAAAUCUUAUUCACAUUCGUGCAAUUUUGUUUUUGGUUGGGUAAAAGAACUUUGGCUUGGGAUAGUUAUAUUUUGUUUUUAAAGAGAGUUUAUAUGUGUUGCAGAGUGCUAUGGAAUGUGUAUUUGGUUCAACAUUUGUUUGCAAAACUAUUGAUGCAGCGAGGGAGGUAAGUCUUUUUCAGUAAUCCUUUUCCCUCGGGUGCCUUUGUAGAUGAUUCUAAUAUAUAUUUUUCAUUUGAAAAUGACAUGUUUUCUUUUGUUGCUUUGCUGCUAUGCUUGUGGUCAUGUUAUAUUUGAGUGCAACUGUUGAUUCUACAUCUUGAUUUAAAUGUACUGUAGUUCACUAAGAACACUGCAGAAAAGGAUCAGAGAGCAUGUGGUGCUGGAUUUGUUUUCUCAGAAGUUAGAAUUGAUGAAUGAAUUUAUUUUUUGACAAACAUUUUAGAAACAUAUGCACUAUGGUUUAAGGUUAUGCUAUUGAUCUUUAAAAGUGUUAACUUAGCUAAACCUUAUUUUUGGCAUUGGGCCAAAUUAAAAUAAUGUAAACCAGUUUAUUUACUUUUGAAUUUAUAUAUAAAAUAAAUUGAGGAGAAAAAGUAAAAAAAGGAUAAAUGAUGAGAGAAUAGGCUGAAUUGAUGCCAGUGAGGGAUAAAUGAUGGACAAUGGACAUCAAUCCUGCAAUG